GAUUUGUCCCUCGGUCAUGAGUAAUCUUGGAAAUCAUAAAUUGUGAUGCGUAUGUUUUCUUUCGUUCCGUCGAGAAUGUGUUACUUCGUAUUUUGAGUGAUGUGUGAGUUUUACGUAUUGUAAUUGAGUUUUUAUUACUUGGCUUUGUGGUAAAUUCGAGGACGAAUUUUUAAUAAGUUGGGGAGAAUGUAAUAUCCCGUAUUUUUCCUUCAUAGUUUCGUUGUGUUUCCGACUUAGUUUUGGAUUAUUAAUGGGGGACUUAGCAAGUGUGAAAUUUUAAUUGGGGUUGGAGUUGUAUAUUAUAUAUGUCGCAUGUGUAGUGUGAGUUUUCGAUGGCGAUUUGAUUGGUAUUCGAAUUAUAAACGAUGUUGUGUUCGUGUGCCUUCUAAAUCUGACAUGUUUUGAUAAAACAUUCAUAUCUCCUAAUUGAACUGUUGGAUCGGACUCAUUUUUGGAUAUGCUGUGCACGACAAAAAGUUGACCGUUGGAUCAAAAUUUGAUGCGAUUUGAAGGAGCGAUGGAGUGCGCGAUCGUGUGCUCAAGUGCACGAACGUGCACUAUGAUGUUACGGAAUUUUAGGUAUUUAAAUAGCCUCUUACGUUUUUAAAACCCUAUUUUUCAUAGUCUAUUGUUUUCUAUCAACCCUAGCCGACUCCCUCACCCUCAAACACUCUGAAAUAUUCUACCAUCAUCCCUUAUUAUUAGCUUUCGCAUUCGCGAAUUUCUGAGAUUGUUGCUACGUUACAUCAGUAGGCUAUAUCCUCCUUAAUCUCUACGAUUCUUAAUCUUGUUUUCGCAAAACGACCCGUCGACUGCUCGUGCUUCGGAGUCUACGCAGGGUUAGCUGUUUGCCAAGAUCACGUGGAUAAGCAAGCAGUUUAUGAUUUGAAAGCUGGUCCACUCCGAUUCUUUUGAUUCCUCGGAGGUUUUAUGUUAUUUAAACUACUUCUGUUUUCAAACUCUUAGACCGCAGUAGAACUAGUUAGUAUAUUACAUUGUGAUUGCAGUUUGGGAUUAUCGAUUUGAUCGAUUAUUUAUUAUUAGCAUGUCUAUUCUUGAUUACUUUAAUAUUAUAUUUAAGGCAUGCUGUUGAGCAUUUUUGGAUAA